AUACUUACCUGUUGGCAGAGAUACUAUGGUCAAGAAGGUGGUUUUCCCAGGGCUAGGCUCAUCUAUUGCACUUGGAUAUGAUGACUCUUGCAGUAAACUGGAAAACCUGACUACAUGAUAUAUGGUGGACUGGGGUUGAUUAAAAACAUCAAGU
rnacentral:snRNA from 1 species